rnacentral:rRNA from 1 species
AGCGAACGCUGGCGGCAGGCUUAACACAUGCAAGUCGAGCGGGCAUCCUUGUGGUGUCAGCGGCAGACGGGUGAGUAACGCGUGGGAACGUGCCCUUCGGUUCGGAAUAACUCAGGGAAACUUGAGCUAAUACCGGAUACGUGCGAGAGCAGAAAGGUUUAUCUGCCGAAGGAUCGGCCCGCGUCUGAUUAGCUAGUUGGUGAGGUUAUGGCUCACCAAGGCGACGAUCAGUAGCUGGUCUGAGAGGAUGAUCAGCCACACUGGGACUGAGACACGGCCCAGACUCCUACGGGAGGCAGCAGUGGGGAAUAUUGGACAAUGGGGGCAACCCUGAUCCCGCCAUGCCGCGUGAGUGAUGACGGCCUUAGGGUUGUAAAGCUCUUUUCUCCGGGACGAUAAUGACGGUACCGGAGGAAUAAGCCCCGGCUAACUUCGUG